GAGGUGGUUUCCGAUUUGGGGGAAAAAAAAGGGAAGGGAAUUUAGGGAUUUGGCUCUGAAGAAAAAAAAGGGAAGGGAAGCACUAUCGGGGAAAUGGGGAGGGGAAUUGGGAAAUGGGAAAGUUAAAACUAAUAAUAAAUUUUUAAAAAUAAAAAAAAAUUAUUUAGAUCCGGGCCGGGCGGGCCAAAAAAAUUUUACCAGAGGCCCG
rnacentral:lncRNA from 1 species